rnacentral:rRNA from 1 species
UACGGAGGGGGCUAGCGUUGUUCGGAAUUACUGGGCGUAAAGCGCACGUAGGCGGCUUUGUAAGUCAGAUGUGAAAGCCCCGGGCUCAACCUGGGAAUUGCAUUUGAGACUGCUCUGCUCGGGUGCGGAAGAGGGAAGCGGAAUUUCCGGUGUAGCGGUGAAAUGCGUAGAUAUCGGAAGGAACACCAGUGGCGAAAGCGGCUUCCUGGUCCGACACCGACGUUCAGGCACGAAAGCGUGGGGAGCAAACAGG